AAGUCGUAACAAGGUUUCCGUAGGUGAACCUGCGGAAGGAUCAUUAUCGUGAUUUUUAAUACAAAUCAACGUAUUCACCAAAUUGUGAACUGUUUCUUACUAUAACCUUUUGAUUAAGGUUGUUAGGAAAAAAGUAAAGAUAUUCUUGGUCUGUGGCGUUAUUUCGCAAGAAAUAAACUCUUUUCGUUGAAUGAUUUGAAAAGAGGAAGGCCUAGACAUUAUGAAUCUUUGAGUUUUACUCAAACUUUACCUUUUCUAACUUUAAUCAAAAGUGUAAAAUCUAAAUCAUUCUUUAAAACCUUUUUAAACUUAAUUUACCACUUGUAUCUAAUUGUACUAACUUAACUUCAAGAAUGGAACGCUUUCGAAAGAAACGUUUUAUUGUUGAAAUUUACGAAAUUGCUGAACAACUCUUAGCAACGGAUAUCUUGGUUCUC
rnacentral:misc_RNA from 1 species